AGAGUUUGAUCCUGGCUCAGAACGAACGCUGGCGGCGUGCUUAACACAUGCAAGUCGAACGCGAAAGCGGCCUUCGGGCUGUGAGUAGAGUGGCGCACGGGUGAGUAACACGUAGACAACCUGCCUUCCAGUCUGGGACAACCCUUUGAAAGAGGGGCUAAUACCGGAUAACACGCUUUAUCGCAUGGUGAAGCGUUGAAAGGCUUGCUGCUGGAAGAGGGGUCUGCGGGACAUUAGCUUGUUGGUGGGGUAACGGCCUACCAAGGCAUCGAUGUCUAGCGGGUCUGAGAGGAUGAUCCGCCACACUGGAACUGAGACACGGUCCAGACUCCUACGGGAGGCAGCAGUGGGGAAUUUUGCGCAAUGGGCGAAAGCCUGACGCAGCAACGCCGCGUGAGUGAAGAAGGCCCUUGGGUCGUAAAGCUCUUUUCUGAGGGAAGAGCAAAGACGUACCUCAGAAUAAGCACCGCUAACU
rnacentral:rRNA from 1 species